rnacentral:rRNA from 1 species
GGUUAAGCGACUAAGCGUACACGGUGGAUGCCCUGGCAGUCAGAGGCGAUGAAGGACGUGCUAAUCUGCGAAAAGCGUCGGUAAGGUGAUAUGAACCGUUAUAACCGGCGAUGUCCGAAUGGGGAAACCCAGUGCAAUUCGUUGCACUAUCGUUAACUGAAUACAUAGGUUAACGAGGCGAACCGGGGGAACUGAAACAUCUAAGUACCCCGAGGAAAAGAAAUCAACCGAGAUUCCCCCAGUAGCGGCGAGCGAACGGGGAGCAGCCCAGAGUCUGAAUCAGCUUGUGUGUUAGUGGAACGGUCUGGAAAGUCCGACGGUACAGGGUGAUAGUCCCGUACACCAAAAUGCACAGGUUGUGAACUCGAAGAGUAGGGCGGGACACGUGGUAUCCUGUCUGAAUAUGGGGGGACCAUCCUCCAAGGCUAAAUACUCCUGACUGACCGAUAGUGAACCAGUACCGUGAGGGAAAGGCGAAAAGAACCCCGGCGAGGGGAGUGAAAAAGAACCUGAAACCGUGUACGUACAAGCAGUGGGAGCACCUUCGGGUGUGACUGCGUACCUUUUGUAUAAUGGGUCAGCGACUUAUAUUCUGUAGCAAGGUUAACCGUAUAGGGGAGCCGCAGGGAAACCGAGUCUUAACUGGGCGUUAAGUUGCAGGGUAUAGACCCGAAACCCGGUGAUCUAGCCAUGGGCAGGUUGAAGGUUGGGUAACACUAACUGGAGGACCGAACCGACUAAUGUUGAAAAAUUAGCGGAUGACUUGUGGCUGGGGGUGAAAGGCCAAUCAAACCGGGAGAUAGCUGGUUCUCCCCGAAAGCUAUUUAGGUAGCGCCUCGUGAACUCAUCUUCGGGGGUAGAGCACUGUUUCGGCUAGGGGGUCAUCCCGACUUACCAACCCGAUGCAAACUACGAAUACCGAAGAAUGUUAUCACGGGAGACACACGGCGGGUGCUAACGUCCGUCGUGAAGAGGGAAACAACCCAGACCGCCAGCUAAGGUCCCAAAGUCAUGGUUAAGUGGGAAACGAUGUGGGAAGGCACAGACAGCCAGGAUGUUGGCUUAGAAGCAGCCAUCAUUUAAAGAAAGCGUAAUAGCUCACUGGUCGAGUCGGCCUGCGCGGAAGAUGUAACGGGGCUAAACCAUGCACCGAAGCUGCGGCAGCGACACUAUGUGUUGUUGGGUAGGGGAGCGUUCUGUAAGCCUGCGAAGGUGUGCUGUGAGGCAUGCUGGAGGUAUCAGAAGUGCGAAUGCUGACAUAAGUAACGAUAAAGCGGGUGAAAAGCCCGCUCGCCGGAAGACCAAGGGUUCCUGUCCAACGUUAAUCGGGGCAGGGUGAGUCGACCCCUAAGGCGAGGCCGAAAGGCGUAGUCGAUGGGAAACAGGUUAAUAUUCCUGUACUUGGUGUUACUGCGAAGGGGGGACGGAGAAGGCUAUGUUAGCCGGGCGACGGUUGUCCCGGUUUAAGCAUGUAGGCUGGUUGUCCAGGCAAAUCCGGAUAAUCAAGGCUGAGGUGUGAUGACGAGGCACUACGGUGCUGAAGUAACAAAUGCCCUGCUUCCAGGAAAAGCCUCUAAGCAUCAGGUAACAUCAAAUCGUACCCCAAACCGACACAGGUGGUCAGGUAGAGAAUACCAAGGCGCUUGAGAGAACUCGGGUGAAGGAACUAGGCAAAAUGGUGCCGUAACUUCGGGAGAAGGCACGCUGGUGUGUAGGUGAAGUCCCUGCGGAUGGAGCUGAGACCAGUCGAAGAUACCAGCUGGCUGCAACUGUUUAUUAAAAACACAGCACUGUGCAAACACGAAAGUGGACGUAUACGGUGUGACGCCUGCCCGGUGCCGGAAGGUUAAUUGAUGGGGUUAUCCGUAAGGAGAAGCUCUUGAUCGAAGCCCCGGUAAACGGCGGCCGUAACUAUAACGGUCCUAAGGUAGCGAAAUUCCUUGUCGGGUAAGUUCCGACCUGCACGAAUGGCGUAAUGAUGGCCAGGCUGUCUCCACCCGAGACUCAGUGAAAUUGAACUCGCUGUGAAGAUGCAGUGUACCCGCGGCAAGACGGAAAGACCCCGUGAACCUUUACUAUAGCUUGACACUGAACAUUGAGCCUUGAUGUGUAGGAUAGGUGGGAGGCUUUGAAGCGUGGACGCCAGUCUGCGUGGAGCCAACCUUGAAAUACCACCCUUUAAUGUUUGAUGUUCUAACGUUGGCCCCUGACCGGGGUUGCGGACAGUGUCUGGUGGGUAGUUUGACUGGGGCGGUCUCCUCCCAAAGCGUAACGGAGGAGCACGAAGGUUAGCUAAUCCUGGUCGGACAUCAGGAGGUUAGUGCAAUGGCAUAAGCUAGCUUGACUGCGAGCGUGACGGCGCGAGCAGGUGCGAAAGCAGGUCAUAGUGAUCCGGUGGUUCUGAAUGGAAGGGCCAUCGCUCAACGGAUAAAAGGUACUCCGGGGAUAACAGGCUGAUACCGCCCAAGAGUUCAUAUCGACGGCGGUGUUUGGCACCUCGAUGUCGGCUCAUCACAUCCUGGGGCUGAAGUAGGUCCCAAGGGUAUGGCUGUUCGCCAUUUAAAGUGGUACGCGAGCUGGGUUUAGAACGUCGUGAGACAGUUCGGUCCCUAUCUGCCGUGGGCGCUGGAGAAUUGAGGGGGGCUGCUCCUAGUACGAGAGGACCGGAGUGGACGCAUCACUGGUGUUCGGGUUGUCAUGCCAAUGGCACUGCCCGGUAGCUAAAUGCGGAAGAGAUAAGUGCUGAAAGCAUCUAAGCACGAAACUUGCCCCGAGAUGAGUUCUCCCUGAGACUUUAAGUCUCCUGAAGGAACGUUGAAGACGACGACGUUGAUAGGCCGGGUGUGUAAGCGCAGCGAUGCGUUGAGCUAACCGGUACUAAUGAACCGUGAGGCUUAACCUU